rnacentral:rRNA from 1 species
AACGAACGCUGGCGGCGUGCUUAACACAUGCAAGUCGAACGAGAAAGUUGCUUCGGCAACGAGUAAAGUGGCGCACGGGUCCGUAACACGUGAAUAACUUUCCCUUGGGUGAAGAACAACUCGGCGAAAGCCGAGCUAAUACUUCGUAAGACCACGACCUCCUCGGAGGUUGAGGUAAAAGGUGGCCUCUUCUUGAAAGCUAUCACCUGAAGAUAGGUUCGCGCACCAUUAGCUAGUUGGUAGGGUAAUGGCCUACCAAGGCAAAGAUGGUUAGCUGGUCUGAGAGGACGAUCAGCGACACUGGAACUGAGACACGGUCCAGACUCCUACGGGGGGCAGUAGUGGGGAAUAUUGGACAAUGGGCGAAAGCCUGAUCCAGCAACGCCGCGUGGGUGAUGAAGGCCUUCGGGUUGUAAAGCCCUGUCGGAUGGAACGGAACCGAUCAACCUAAUACGUUGGUCAUUGACGGUACCAUCAAAGGAAGCACCGGCUAACUCUGUGCCAGCCGCCGCAGUAA